rnacentral:rRNA from 1 species
UGGGGAAUAUUGGACAAUGGGCGCAAGCCUGAUCCAGCAAUGCCGCGUGUGUGAAGAAGGCCUUCGGGUUGUAAAGCACUUUUAUCAGGAGCGAAACGCUGUCGGCUAAUACCCGGCGGAACUGACGGUACCUGAGGAAUAAGCACCGGCUAACUUCGUGCCAGCAGCCGCGGUAAUACGAAGGGUGCAAGCGUUAAUCGGAAUUACUGGGCGUAAAGCGUGCGUAGGCGGUUUCUUAAGUCUGCUGUGAAAUCCCCGGGCUCAACCUGGGAAUGGCAAUGGAUACUGGGAGGCUGGAGUGUGUCAGAGGGUGGUGGAAUUCCCGGUGUAGCGGUGAAAUGCGUAGAGAUCGGGAGGAACAUCAGUGGCGAAGGCGGCCACCUGGGACAACACUGACGCUGAGGCACGAAAGCGUGGGGAGCAAACAGGAUUAGAUACCCUGGUAGUCCACGCCCUAAACGAUGCGAACUGGAUGUUGGUCUCAACUCGGAGAUCAGUGUCGAAGCUAACGCGUUAAGUUCGCCGCCUGGGGGGUACGGUCGCAAGACUGAAACUUAAAUGAAUUGAC